rnacentral:lncRNA from 1 species
CUUGUUUUUCUUGGGGGUUGGGGCAUGGAUCUGUCUAGUUGUUUCAGCUGGCAGGUCUGAACCUUGUUGUGCCCCUUCUUCCUUCAUAACAUCAGGUUCCACACCAGUCAGGAUUGAAGGAUCACAUGUCUGAACUUGCUCUGCACCUUCAACAUUCUUCUUCUUCUUUUUCCGGGGGGUUGGAUUAGGGUUCUGCCUAGAUGUUUCAGCAUUUUCUUCUUGUGGAAAAAUUGGGAUUGGUUUGUCCAGUAAGGGUUUAGGGCAUAAACCCUCAUUCCCAUCAGCAUCACCUUGUUUUGUUGCUUCUUCCUUCAUAACAUCAGGUUCGGCACUUGUCGGGAUUGAAGGGUCGCAUGUGUGAAGUUGCUGUUGUGCGACUUGCACAUCCUUAUUCUUGUUUUUCUUGGGGGUUGGAACAGGGUCAUGUGUAGUUGUUUCAGCUGUUUCUGAAAUUUGUUGUGCCCCUACUUCCUUCGUAACAUCAGGUUCCACGUCUAUUAGGAUUGAAGGAUCACACGUCAGAUGUUGCUCUGCACCUUGCACAUUCUUCUUCUUCUUCUUUUUCUGGGGGAUUGGGUUAGGGUUCUGUGUAGAUGUUUUAGCAUUUCCCUCUUGUGGAACAAUUGGGAUUGGUGUGUCCAACAAGGGCUUAGGGCAUAAACCCCCAUUCCCAUUAGCAUCACCUUGUUGUGAUCCUCCUUCUUUCGUAACAUCAGGUACCGCACCAAUCGCAAUUGAAGGAUCACAAGUCAGAAGUUGCUCUGCAUCUUGCACAUUCUUAUUCUUCUUCUUCUUCUUUUUCUUGGGGGUUGGG